ensembl:lncRNA
AGCACCAGGGUUAUCCUGGGCUCUUGCUGCCUUACUUUGAGGAGAGACACCUUAACUUCUCAUCAAUAACUUCACCACUGGGCAGUUGGAGAUAAAUUCCAACCUGAUUUUGGAGUUCUGAAGAGUUUGGCUGGGGAAUUUUAGCUACAAUGGCAAAGGCAGCUUCAGAAAUUAUUUAUAUAGCAUGUUGAGAGGUCAUCUGUAACUACUUUAAAAUUGAUACAUAAAAUCUUGAGGUAAACUUUAAAAUCUGCAUAUGUUUGAAUUAUUUUAAUUGGAAUAUUUUCAUC